UACGGGGGGGGCAAGCGUUGUUCGGAAUUACUGGGCGUAAAGGGCUCGUAGGCGGCCAACUAAGUCGGAUGUGAAAUCCCCAGGCUUAACCCGGGAACUGCAUCCGAUACUGGAUGGCUUGAAUCCGGGAGAGGGAUGCAGAAUUCCAGGUGUAGCGGUGAAAUGCGUAGAUAUCUGGAGGAAUACCGGUGGCGAAGGCGGCAUCCUGGACCGGCAUUGACGCUGAUGAGCGAAAGCUAGGGGAGCAAACGGG
rnacentral:rRNA from 1 species